rnacentral:rRNA from 1 species
AACGAACGCUGGCGGCGUGGAUAAGACAUGCAAGUCGAACGAAAAUACUGAUUAGUUUACUAAGAUGUAUUUUAGUGGCGGACGGGUUAGUAACACGUGAGAACCUACCCUUUAGACAGGAAUAGUCCCGGGAAACUGGGUUUAAUGCCUGAUAGUCUCUAUGGAGUAAAUGAUGCCUUCGGGUGUCGCUAAAGGAUGGGCUCGCGGCCUAUCAGCUUGUUGGUGAGGUAAAGGCUCACCAAGGCGACGACGGGUAGCUGGUCUGAGAGGACGAUCAGCAACACUGGAACUGAGACACGGUCCAGACACCUACGGGUGGCAGCAGUCGAGAAUCAUUCACAAUGGAGGCAACUCUGAUGGUGCAACGCCGCGUGGAGGAUGACGGUCCUAGGAUUGUAAACUCCUGUCAUUGGGGAGUAAGACUUAAGCGUUAAGAGCGUUUAAGUUUGAUAGUACCCAAAGAGGAAGGGACGGCUAACUUCG